AGAUUGAACGCUGGCGGCAUGCUUUACACAUGCAAGUCGAACGGUAACAGGCCGCAAGGUGCUGACGAGUGGCGAACGGGUGAGUAAUGUAUCGGAACGUGCCCAGUCGUGGGGGAUAACGCAGCGAAAGCUGCGCUAAUACCGCAUACGAUCUAUGGAUGAAAGCGGGGGACCGUAAGGCCUCGCGCGAUUGGAGCGGCCGAUAUCAGAUUAGGUAGUUGGUGGGUAAAGGCGUCACCAAGCCAACGAUCUGUAGCUGGUCUGAGAGGACGACCAGCCACACUGGGACUGAGACACGGCCCAGACUCCUACGGGAGGCAGCAGUGGGAAUUUUGGACAAUGGGCGCAAGCCUGAUCCAGCAAUGCCGCGUGCAGGAAGAAGGCCUUCGGUGUAAACUGCUUUGUACGAACGAACGGUCCGUAGUUAAUACCGUGGGCUAAUGACGGUACGUAAGAAUAAGCACCGCUAACGUACGUA
rnacentral:rRNA from 1 species